GACGAACCGUGCGAACGUUGUUCGGAAUCACUGGGCUUAAAGGGCGCGUAGGCGGGCGAGCAAGUUCGGGGUGAAAUCUUUCGGCUCAACCGGAAAAGGGCCUCGGAGACUGCUUGUCUGGAGGGAGGUAGGGGCAGGUGGAACUGCUGGUGGAGCGGUGAAAUGCGUUGAUAUCAGCAGGAACGCCGGUGGCGAAAGCGACCUGCUGGACCUCUUCUGACGCUGAGGCGCGAAAGCUAGGGGAGCAAACGGGG
rnacentral:rRNA from 1 species